UGAGUGUGUGUGUGCGUGUGUGCAUGAGGAUAUAUAUAUAUGUGUGUGUGUAUAUAUAUAUAUAUCCUCAUGCACACACGCACACACACACACA
rnacentral:miRNA from 1 species